rnacentral:rRNA from 1 species
AUGAAAGCGCUUUUCUGGAAUGUUAGAGGUUUAGGGGCUUGGGGGCGCCGGGACCAAAUCAAAGACGUCAUCAGGGGCGAUAAUAUUGAUCUGAUUGGACUGGUUGAGACCUUUAAAACCUCCUUCUCCCCUCAUGAGCUUUCUGCAGUUGCGGGUGCUGAUCGUUUUGACUCGAAUUUUCUUCCCUCCUCGGGCCACUCGGGUGGCAUUCUAAUUGGCUCUAAACGUGAUGUUUUUGACUUUGUAACCUUUGACCAUGGUAUUUUUUGGGCCAGUUCUGUUGUUUUCCACCGACAACUCAAUACACUCUGGGAAGUAAUGGUGGUUUACGGCCCGGAGGACCAUUCCCUUUCCCCUUUAUUCCUGGAUGAAAUCUCUAGUAAGGUUGAGUCUUGCACCCUCCCCCUCCUAAUUGGUGGUGAUUUUAACUUGCUGCGCUUUCCGACUGAUAAGAACACCAAUAACUUCUUCUAG